CCCCUGUGUGAUUGGGAUCACUUUCCAGACAACCUUUUCUUUUCUUUUCUUUUCUUUAAAAGAAUGAUCCUUUUACUUCAAUCAGUUUGUGUUUUGGCAGUUUUCAGAGGUCAUUGUUAUUCCCCCCCCCUUCCCCAUGCAAGAAAACAUUUGAAGUCUACUCAUUAAUGUCUAGAGAGCUUUAUGAUAUCUCUUUCUUUACAGGUAUCCAAUCAGAGGUUCGACUAGAGGAAUCUGGAGGGGACAUAAAAAGACCUGGAGAGUCCCUCCGCCUCUCCUGUCAAGCCUCUGGUUUUACCUUCAGCAGCUACUGGAUGAACUGGGUGCGGCAGGCUCCUGGGAGGGGACUGGAAUGGGUUGCAAGGAUAAGCAGUGGUGCAGGAAGCUCACAAUAUUACCCUGACUCAGUGAAAGGGCGCUUCACCAUCUCCAGGGAUAACCCUUCCAACAGGCUGUUUCUGCAAAUGAGCAAUCUGAAACCAGAAGACACAGCUAUAUAUUACUGUUUGAGAGAAGG